rnacentral:rRNA from 1 species
UACGUAGGGUGCGAGCGUUGUCCGGAAUUAUUGGGCGUAAAGAGCUCGUAGGCGGUCUGUCGCGUCGGUCGUGAAAACCUGCAGCUUAACUGUGGGCGUGCGGUCGAUACGGGCAUGACUGGAGUUCGGCAGGGGAGACUGGAAUUCCUGGUGUAGCGGUGAAAUGCGCAGAUAUCAGGAGGAACACCGGUGGCGAAGGCGGUUCUCUGGGCCUUACCUGACGCUGAGGAGCGAAAGCGUGGGGAGCGAACAGG